ensembl:snoRNA
CCCUCCUACAAAGAUGUGUCUGUAGUUCCCGGUCUUUGGACGCGUCAAAAUUGAAGGAAAAGAAACACGGAUAUGAAGAAGUCUGGGGCCAACUUGCUCCCUCCCUGUAGGCUCAAGACCAACCGUUCAACAGAG